rnacentral:rRNA from 1 species
UACGAAGGGGGCUAGCGUUGUUCGGAUUUACUGGGCGUAAAGCGCACGUAGGCGGAUCGAUCAGUCAGGGGUGAAAUCCCAGGGCUCAACCCUGGAACUGCCUUUGAUACUGUCGAUCUGGAGUAUGGAAGAGGUGAGUGGAAUUCCGAGUGUAGAGGUGAAAUUCGUAGAUAUUCGGAGGAACACCAGUGGCGAAGGCGGCUCACUGGUCCAUUACUGACGCUGAGGUGCGAAAGCGUGGGGGAGCAAACAGGGAUUAAGAAACCCCCUG